rnacentral:rRNA from 1 species
AUUGAACGCUGGCGGCAUGCUUUACACAUGCAAGUCGAACGGCAGCAUGGGUGCUUGCACCUGAUGGCGAGUGGCGAACGGGUGAGUAAUGUAUCGGAACAUAUCCGCAAGUGGGGGAUAACGUAGCGAAAGUUACGCUAAUACCGCAUAUUCCCUGAGGGGGAAAGGAGGGGAUCCGCAAGGACCUUUCGCUUACGGAGUGGCCGAUAUCAGAUUAGCUAGUUGGUGAGGUAAAGGCUCACCAAGGCGACGAUCUGCAGCGGGUCUGAGAGGAUGAUCCGCCACACUGGGACUGAGACACGGCCCAGACUCCUACGGGAGGCAGCAGUGGGGAAUUUUGGACAAUGGGGGCAACCCUGAUCCAGCCAUGCCGCGUGAGUGAAGAAGGCCUUCGGGUUGUAGAGCUCUUUCAGCCGGAAAAAAAAUCGCAUCACCUAAUACGUGGUGUGGACGAUGGUACCGGAAGAAGAAGCACCGGCUAACUACGUGCCAGCCGCCGCCGUAA